rnacentral:rRNA from 1 species
CAGUAGCCGCGGUAAUACGAAGGGGGCUAGCGUUGUUCGGAAUUACUGGGCGUAAAGCGCACGUAGGCGGAUCGACCAGUCAGGGGUGAAAUCCCAGGGCUCAACCCUGGAACUGCCUUUGAUACUGUCGAUCUGGAGUAUGGAAGAGGUGAGUGGAAUUCCGAGUGUAGAGGUGAAAUUCGUAGAUAUUCGGAGGAACACCAGUGGCGAAGGCGGCUCACUGGUCCAUUACUGACGCUGAGGUGCGAAAGCGUGGGGAGCAAACAGGAUUAGAGACCCCGGUAGUCCCUGUCUCUUAUAC